AUGCACCCAUGGCAUAUGGAAGUUCAUGGGUCAGGAACUGAAUCCAAGCCACAGCUGCAAAUUUUGCCACAGCUGCAGCAAUGCCACAUCCUUUAACUCACUGUGCUGGGCUGGGGAUCGAACCUACGCCUCCACAGUGAUCUAAGCCACUGACGUCAGAUUCUUAACUCUGCUUUUGUUUCUGGUCCCUCUUAUCUCCCCUCUACAUUUGGUCUUUAUUGGAACAGGGUUGAUACCUCCUUGUCCCCACAUCCUCCACUCUCUCUCUGCCUUUGGAAUUAUUAUGUUAAUUUGGUGUCAGGUAUCUCUUGGGUUCACGCUUCUCUGUGAUGGAGGGUAGCUUGUAGAACCUUCCAAGACACCUAGAAAAUAGACUGACCAUGUAACACUUUCAGAGGUUUUCUUUGAAAUGGUUAGGACCAAGGUUAUUUGGAGAUAUUUUUCUAAUUAUGUGUGCCCUGUGUUCAUUGUAGGCUAGAUGAUACCAUCUUAGAAUAAGGUUAACCUGGCAGGGGGAGUAAAAUAUGAAUAGAUAAAUUAAUACUCUUUUGUUGGAAGUUGAUCUCUUAAUUUUCAAUUUUAAUUACAUGAGCAGGUUGUCUUUUUGGUUUGAUAAUUUCUUCUUUGGAUCAUUGGUUACUUGGAAAGUUCUGAUGUCCAGGAGUAAAUACCAGCCACUUUGCCUUCCCUCCUGCUUCUUGGUGGUGGCACACAUCCCCCUUUUCCCCAGCCUAAGAACAUGAUCACUGUGGUCAGCUCUGCCACACACAUGUCCCUCUUAAGUUUAUCUUCCAGAUGGAGGAUUUUUCCUAAGCAGUAUUCCACUUUGGACAGUGCAUAAGUUAAUAUUAAUAAGAUUUCAAGAGAGAGAGAAAGAAAGUGACCCAUAUCCAAAUCCUGUUUUUAGGGUCUGCUUUUGGGAAGACAAAAUUAUAACAAAUAUUAACUGUGAAGAGGGAUAUUCUUUUCAGAUUAUUUUUUUUCUUUUUGUUUUUUUUUUUUUUUGUUUGUUUGUUUGUUUGUUUGUUUUUUCAGGGCUACACCCACAGCAUGUGAAAUUUCCCAUGUUAGAGGUCGAAUUGGAGCUACAACUGCGGCCUACAUAAUUGCCACAGCAACACAGGAUCCGAGCCACAUCCGAGACCUACACCACAGCUCACAGCAAUGCCGGAUCCCCAACCCACUGAGCGAGGCCAGGGAUUGAACCUGCAUCCUUAUGGAUUCUAGUCAGAUUCGUAUCUGUUGCACCACGAAGGGAACUCCUUUUUUCAGAUUCUUAAAUGAAUGACUGAGGUACUCAAACAUGUCUAUUUAAGCAAUCACACUUUUCUUGUUGUAAGAAGUAUGCUCUGUUUAUUGGGUAAAAGCAAAGCGGUAACGGCUAUUGUAGCCAAUGAAGAAUGGUACCUCCUUCGAAAAAAGACCUCCACUUAGCUUUUUUAGCAUCAGGAAGAGUAAAGAUGACCUCACCGUGUAAGCCAGCCAAGAGUUCAUGGAGGGAUUAUUCACACCACACGUGCACACGCGCACACACUCAGGAUGACUCCUCAGUGCUCUGCAAGGCAACAACAUCCUAGGAAGGGACACAACACAACUAAGGUAAAAUGCCUUUUCAUACCACACAAAAACAGAGCAAAUCUCUUCCAAGCCAGUGAGACACACAGAGAGUGAACACUGCACAAUCUGGCACUUCUGUGGGAAAGCCUCCAAGAUAGUUAUUUUCCGGUUUGUGGGUUGCCCACUCGGCAGAUAUGGGUUUUGUUUAGGUCUCAGAAGCACCCCUCCUGCUGGCUCUUAGGCUUCCUCUUUGAGUGUAUUUUUGGGGGGAGUUUCUAGUCUCUUUCGUCAGUGGUUAUUCAACAGUUGUUGUGAUUUGGUGUUUUUGUGAGAAGGAGGUGAGCUCUACUCUGCCAUCUUGUCUAGAUCCAGCUAACACUAUUUUUAUAUAAUUAUUUUCUAGGUCAGUGGGUCGUAAUCUACCAUGAGAGUCAGGGCGAGGGUCUCUUGAAUGAAGUCGACAUUCCUAUUCAGUCAUCCUGAGCUGACGCAGCCACACACGCCUGGGAGACAGACUAAACCGAAGGGGGGACAGAAAUGCCUUCCCUUCUCUGUACAGACGGAUCCUCACAUAACUAAAGCAUUAGGGUUGCUGUGGACAUUGUGGACAAGGCAGGGAAUGGAUUGUGGUGAGCUGGCUGCUGGCACAGGGAGGCAGUCCCCACUGAGUAAGCCUGGGCAGCCACCUCAAGUGUCCACAUCAGUUGCUGUGUGUUGUGUUGUGUUCUUCCUCUUCAAGAUCCUUAACCUCCAAUGAAGCUUUCUUCAAAACGGAGGCUAUGGUCUUAACUAUGGAGGGUUAAAGCAGAGGGAUUAAGGUUGGGAAGCCAUGCUCUGCCCUCUGAGUACUGAGCGGUGCUGGGGGGCCAGGCAGCAGGAAAGCAGAAGGGUGGGUUUGUCUUGGGUGGGGUGGGUAAUAGAGCAGAAGGACUUAGGGAACCAGUUCCUACAGAAAAUAGCACUUUGGGGAAGGUUUUUGUUGUUGUUUUUUUUUAAAAAAACCUAGAAACUCUUGGAUUGUCUGUUCCCAGGUCUCCUCAAAGUAUCUGCUUGGCAUUUCGUGGAUGUCUGUGAUUACCUGCAGUUAUAUGUGUUAGUUCUGAAUGGUGAUGUGGGCGUCAUUUUACCUGAGGCCUCUCUGCAGCAGACCAGCUAGAAGUGACUGACCCUUUUCCUUGACUAUCGACUGAAAAUACUGUCCAGAUGCUUCGCAUCUCCUAACUAUUUGGCAGGAAAAAAUAUAUAUCAUAUAUUGAUUAUAGUACUGGUUUAUUGAAAAAGAUUCAGGUCAAUUAUUUGUUUAUUUAAGCCAGUACGAUGUAUUUAUAUUAAUCAUUAGGGUCUGGGAGCAAAACAUACUGAAUUUUCAAACAUGUACUUGAAUUUCUCCUUGACCUUGGCAUUUGAAAAUGGAAUUCAUCAAUCUGAAUUCUUUACUGCCAUUUCAGUAUCCGCUUGUUGGACUUUGUCUUUUAGUAUAAAUCUGUGAGGGUUAAUCAGUAGGUGUUAAAUUCUAAUUCUCCACAUCAAUUUCUAGAGCUCCUUUCUCCACAAUAACCAACACAAAACUUACAUGUAGAUUACUUAAAUGCAAUGAAAUUUAAAUAUUGAAUGAGACGAUGUUUCUAAAAGUUUGAACUUGGAGUACUUUCCUAAAAAAAGCUCUUAUACACUGAUAGUCAGUCUUUUGACCUUCAGGGAACAGGAGAGACAACCCUUUGGCUAGCCCUUGGCCUAAUUCAGUUGAGUCCCAGAGCUGACAUUAUUUAUGGAAACAUAAGCAGUUGGUUGGAUGAAUGCCCAGGGGCCUUGGCAUUGUAGGUACUUAGAUAAAUCAAAUGAUCCAGAAAACUGGUAUUAUGUGAGACCUCCACUUGAACUGGCACCUCCCCCAUACCCAAUGGCAAAUCCAAAGGGCAAGGAGGACCCUCAUCCAUUACAAGGGGGAGGAGGCCCAGCCAGGCAUGCCCAGUGUUUAGUGACAUGGAGACCUUGUAAUGUCAUGGUGGGUGUGGAAAGAGAUCAUGCCCCGUAGACAUGAGAAAGUCUGCUUACAUUGUUUCUGAUGCAGACUUGGUUUCUAGAAUCUGGGCUGUUCCUCAGGACCUCUACUGAGGCUUUAGGAAGCAUAAACCACAGGACAAGGCAGAAGCAAGAAAUCACAUUUUCAGUUGGGUUUUAGUUUUCAUUAGUUCUAUCAUUUUAUUAAACACCUUUAACCCUGUGGCUUGUUUUUCAAAAAUCAGGUUAUCUUACAGUGUCACACAUUUCUCAGAAAAUGUCCACCAGGAGAACUAAAUCCUCCUUGAGCGUAAUAAAUAAAUAUAACCAUCUAAACAUUCAGAAUGGAAACAAAAAGGCCAAAUGGAAUAUUGGCCAAAUAAAGGUACCUUGUUUAUUCCUUACUUUAAUAUUCUUUCUCGAAGCAAACCUUAACAGUCUGGCCUCUGUUCUGUCAGACAGAUCAACCAGCAAGAUCAGCAGAAAAUUGGAAAAGCUCCGUAAAGAUAUUUAGGUCAUAAGUCUCCAAAAGUGGAACCAUAUCGGCCUCCUGAAUGAGUGUGGAUAGUUGGAAGAGACUGAUGAAUGUUAUAUCAAUUAUCACGACAGCAACACCAGCAAACAUGCAAUAAGUUACAGCUUGAUUGCAUUCAAGAUGGACUUCACCUCUGUGAGACCUAAUUAAAUGCUAUGUGUAUAAAUCUCACACAUUCUAAUUCCCUACCCAGUCCGUGUAGCCCUGGACUUGCAGCCUCUUGCUCUGCCGCAUGACUAGGUGUUGAUUUGAAAACUCAGAGCAACUAAUAAGAGGGUCAGGCCCAAAAGAAAAUCAGGUAUUCUGGGCUGUCAUCUCUAUCACCUUCGUUGUGUCACUGUGGAUUUUGUCCUUUUAUAAACAUAGCCCCUGUGAUCUGGAACAUUGGAACACAGAAUGUUUCCCAAUCCCAUUCAUUGUCAAUAUUUUAAGCCACUGAAAAAAUAUGCUAGUUGGCCAGGCAUGGACUUAUUAAUUGAAAUGCAAAUGCUGAUGGAAUAGAUUUGAUAGUGAGGAAGUUUGAGAUGUGGAAGAGGGAUGAGAGGCCGUGAGAGGAAGAUUGCCUUAUGUUGUCACAUUUAGCUUUAAAAGGAUCCUUGAAGCUGUGUCCUGGCCAAUCAUAGUUCUAGCCCGCCCUUCGCCACUUAGAAGGGAACUGCUGUGCCAGGCUGCCUCUCAGGGAGGAGAGUCAGAAAGCCAGGUUCCUUGGGUCAGGACAAGGGCCCUGUGUGCAAGCCUGGGAUGGAAAUGACUUCCAAAGCAAGGAAGUGCUGAGCAGCAAAAAUCUAAGACACAGAUAAGCUAGGCCAAGCCUUUUCCGGUGGGCAUAUUAAAAUCUCUUUAUGUGACAAGCAUCAAGGGCAGUGUAGGAAGACUAUGAUGAAUUUACUUUUAACUGUCAAGUACAAUAGAAUUGUUAUCUAUCAGCAUCUUGAAAUGCAGACCCCCCCCCAAAAAAAAAAUUAAACCCAGCCUUUCAAAUAAGCAUUGUUGCAAAGGCUAUAAAACACUACAGUGUUGCAAGCUUGGUAAAAAUCAAUUUCCAUUUUGUUGCAGUAUGUGUCAUGCAGAAGUUGCUGAAACCAACAAAAUGAAAAGCAUUAAUAAUUGGUAUUAAUAGCUUGUAUAGAUUAAUUUGCUUAUUUGCCUAAAAGAAAAUGAGCCAAACAAUCCAUUAAAGGAAGAUCUGCACUUUAUAUUAUAUAAAGCACAUACUUCCUAUUGUUUUAAAAAAUGAAGUAUCUAAAGUUUGGGGAAAUCUUAACUAAUUAAUGAAAAUCAAAUGAGAAUCUGUCAAUAAAAUUAAGUCAAUUUGAUGCGUGCAUAAGGGGCAUUUUAAUGACUUCAAAACCACCAGAAAUAUAGUGGGCACAUAAAAUAUAACUGACAUGAAAUAAAAUGGAAAAGUUCAUAUUUGUCUGUGGCACUUGCCAACUACCAGUAUCUAAGAGUCAUUACUUGAGUCCUUUGCAAUGUCUAGGAUGCUGGUGGGGAAUAAAUAAUAAACAAAUGGGCCACCAAAUGCGGAUGAGUUUAAGUACCUUGUGAAAAAUAUUUCAUGGCUUCAUUUCAACAGUUAUUCCUGUUGGGUGAAGCCUUGGUUUAUCUGCCAUUGGCCCAAUCACAGGAAUCAAUGUUACGUGUGCUAGGAGGUGGCAGAAGCAGGAAGUUGAGGACUCCCUGUGCUCAUGCUCAGUUUAUCAUCAUAUCUCUUGUCACAUGCCUAGGACACAUUCAUCUA
rnacentral:lncRNA from 1 species